rnacentral:rRNA from 1 species
UACGUAGGAUGCGGGCGUUAUCCGGAUUUAUUGGGUUUAAAGGGUGCGUAGGCGGACUGUCAAGUCAGCGGUAAAAUUGAGAGGCUCAACCUCUUCCCGCCGUUGAAACUGGUGGUCUUGAGUGGAUGAGAAGUACGCGGAAUGCGUGGUGUAGCGGUGAAAUGCAUAGAUAUCACGCAGAACUCCGAUUGCGAAGGCAGCGUACCGGCAUCCAACUGACGCUGAGGCACGAAAGCGUGGGGAUCAAACAGG